rnacentral:rRNA from 1 species
UACGUAGGGGGCAAGCGUUGUCCGGAUUUAUUGGGCGUAAAGAGCGUGUAGGCGGCCUUACAGGUCAGCUGUGAAAACUCGAGGCUCAACCUCGAGACGUCGGUUGAAACCGUAAGGCUAGAGUCCGGAAGAGGAGAGUGGAAUUCCCGGUGUAGCGGUGAAAUGCGCAGAUAUCGGGAAGAACACCCGUGGCGAAGGCGGCUCUCUGGGACGGGACUGACGCUGAGACGCGAAAGCGUGGGGAGCGAACAGG